CUCCAUGGUAUGUAGCGUACACAAAUGUGUGUGUAUUUGGUAUGCAUGUACAUAGCAUGUACAUAUAUUAACUAUUUCAACAGGAAUGCCCUUUGAAAAUCACUUUAAGUCAAUUUCCCCUAUCCCAGGAGAGUGAACAUGAGUCCCAGAAUUGUUGGGAGGAAACGACAGAAGUUCCAGAAUCUCCUCAUCUCCAACCCACUCAUUCCUGGAGAAAUGCAGUAGAAAUAUCUGCUGGAUGCCAGCUAUAUCAUUACCUCCAGAUAUUGAAAGAGGACACCUGAAUCUGUGUGAUGUGGUAGAAAGAAGAUGAUCUAGGGUGUCAAAGCAGACAGAUGCCAGUUUGUGCCCAUCCUUUACCAGACUGGUGCCUAGAGUGAGUCACACUUAUUACCUUAAGUUUCCUGAGCUACCUAGAAGAGUGGAAGACGAAGAAAGACCAUUAAGGAAAGACCCUGCCCUGUUCAUCUUUGUAUCCUCAACAAACAGCCCUGAGAAGAAGGUUUCAUCACCAAGUGUAUUGACCGAGUGAAAUGACUCAGCACUGCUUGCUGGACACCAAGCACUCCCUCCUGGCCAAACAGUCACUUGAGGACCUAUCACCUGCUCUACCAACUACAUCUGCGCGACAGUAAACAGCCAAAUAAAUACCUUCUACAGCCACAUACAGACUUAGGUCUGCAUUACCUUAAAUAUGGAUAAAAUGUGAGUGUGAUUUACAUAGAAAAGAGUCUUUUGGCAGCUAGAUCAAGCAGAAAUAAAUUUUGAUAUUUUGUUCUAGAGUCGAGUAGAUUAGAAACUGGCUCUGAAUAAAAUACAGAUUGUUUUACUUAGCACAGCCAUUUGUUGUUGUUGUUGUUGUUGUUGUUGUUAUAAAAGAAUAGAGAUCUAUAACAGUACCUAAGAAAGGGCUUCUUGCUAUAACCACAGGCUGACUGCUGUCUAACACUCUCCAGUCCGGCUUCCCUGUAUUCACUUGUAGCCACAGUUACAAUUUCAUACUGUUCAAGUUUUCAUUGACAACAGUAGCCAAAUAUCUGCUUAUUUCAAAUAUUCUGAAUGCUAAGAAAGUAGAU
rnacentral:lncRNA from 10 species